rnacentral:rRNA from 1 species
CGAACGGGUGAGUAACGCGUGAGGAACCUGCCUCAAAGAGGGGGACAACAGUUGGAAACGACUGCUAAUACCGCAUAAGCCCACGGCCCGGCAUCGAGCAGAGGGAAAAGGAGUGAUCCGCUUUGAGAUGGCCUCGCGUCCGAUUAGCUAGUUGGUGAGGUAACGGCCCACCAAGGCGACGAUCGGUAGCCGGACUGAGAGGUUGAACGGCCACAUUGGGACUGAGACACGGCCCAG